CCUACGGGAGACAGCAGUGAGGAAUAUUGGUCAAUUGGCGCAAGCCUGAACCAGCCAAGUCGCGUGAGGGAAGACGGCCCUACGGGUUGUAAACCUCUUUUGCCGGGGAGCAAGCCUGAGCACGUGUGCCCAGGCGGAGAGUACCCGGAGAAAAAGCAUCGGCUAACUCCGUGCCAGCAGCCGCGGUAAUCCGGAGGAUGCGAGCGUUAUCCGGAUUUAUUGGGUUUACGGGUGGCGCAGGCGGGCUGUUAAGCCGGCGGUAAAAAUUCAGGGCUCAAACCUGUCGAGCCGUCGGAACUGGCAGUCUUGAGUGGGCGAGAAGUAUGCGGAAUGCGUGGGGUAGCGGUGAAAUGCAUAGAUAUCACGCAGAACGCAGAGUGCGAAGGAAGCAUACCGGCGCCCAACUGACGCUGAGGCACGAAAGCGUGGGGAUCGAACAGGAUUAGAUACCCGAGUAGGC
rnacentral:rRNA from 1 species